UUAUCAACUAGGGCCACUCACUGGCCCAGCUAAUAAAUUAAUCUCCAAAAAUAUAUGAGCUAUAAAUCAAGGUGUAAUAGAGAAGUGUUCCUUGCGACCUAGAAAUGGCAUCCAAGAAACCAUUCGUUAUCGAUCAGGCAGAUGAAAUCACUGAGAAAGCCGCAUUCACCUGGCAGACUAACAUGAGUGGAACGACGAGCUCCAGGCAUACACAUACCCAUAACCCAUGCCCAUGUGGAGACUUGUUCCAGAUUACCAAGGAAGACCUGAAAUUGGGGGAAGAGAUUGCUCGGUGUCCUAGUUGUACACUCUACAUCACCGUCGUUUACAACAUCGAAGAUUUCAUGGAUAAGAAACCCACCAAACCCUUUGAGCCCUCCAAGCAACAAUCCCUCACCGUCGCUUAGGAUUUCAGAUGGCUUUGUAUGGAGGAGGUGGCCAAGUGGUGGAAGGAUUCUUCCCAAGUUUUGUUAGAUUUUAACUCAAUAUUAAGUGUGCAAGUUAGGAGUGGGAAAUUUUGUAUUCAACAUGAAAGGGAAUUUAUUUGAGAUACAUGGAUGGUAUUCUUAUAAUAAUUAUUGAGCUUAACCUGAUUGAUUGACAUAUAUUUUAUUGAA